rnacentral:rRNA from 1 species
CAAGUCGAGCCGAACAGAGAAGGAGCUUGCUCCUUUGACGUUAGCGGCGGACGGGUGAGUAACACGUGGGCAACCUACCUUAUAGUUUGGGAUAACUCCNGGGAAACCGGGGCUAAUACCCGAAUAAUCUAUUUUUACUUCAUGGUGAAAUACUGAAAGACGGUUUCGGCUGUCGCUAUAAGAUGGGCCCGCGGCGCAUUAGCUAGUUGGUGAGGUAACGGCUCACCAAGGCGACGAUGCGUAGCCGACCUGAGAGGGUGAUCGGCCACACUGGGACUGAGACACGGCCCAGACUCCUACGGGAGGCAGCAGUAGGGAAUCUUCCACAAUGGGCGAAAGCCUGAUGGAGCAACGCCGCGUGAGUGAAGAAGGUUUUCGGAUCGUAAAACUCUGUUGUAAGGGAAGAACAAGUACAGUAGUAACUGGCUGUACCUUGACGGUACCUUAUUAGAAAGCCACGGCUAACUACGUGCCAGCAGCCGCGGUAAUACGUAGGUGGCAAGCGUUGUCCGGAAUUAUUGGGCGUAAAGCGCGCGCAGGCGGUCC